rnacentral:rRNA from 1 species
UGGGGAAUUUUGGACAAUGGGCGAAAGCCUGAUCCAGCAAUGCCGCGUGUGUGAAGAAGGCCUCGGGUUGUAAAGCACUUUUGUCCGGAAAGAAAUCCUUGGCUCUAAUACAGUCGGGGGAUGACGGUACCGGAAGAAUAAGCACCGGCUAACUACGUGCCAGCAGCCGCGGUAAUACGUAGGGUGCAAGCGUUAAUCGGAAUUACUGGGCGUAAAGCGUGCGCAGGCGGUUUGCUAAGACCGAUGUGAAAUCCCCGGGCUCAACCUGGGAACUGCAUUGGUGACUGGCAGGCUAGAGUAUGGCAGAGGGGGGUAGAAUUCCACGUGUAGCAGUGAAAUGCGUAGAGAUGUGGAGGAAUACCGAUGGCGAAGGCAGCCCCCUGGGCCAAUACUGACGCUCAUGCACGAAAGCGUGGGGAGCAAACAGGAUUAGAUACCCUGGUAGUCCACGCCCUAAACGAUGUCAACUAGUUGUUGGGGAUUCAUUUCCUUAGUAACGUAGCUAACGCGUGAAGUUGACCGCCUGGGGAGUACGGUCGCAAGAUUAAAACUUAAAGGAAUUGACGGGGUCAUAGCUGUUUCCU